GCCGCGGCGAUAGCUCAGUGGGUAAAGCGCCGGGUGAGAAGAUGGCGAUUACUCCGAGAGCUAUUAUCCGCGCGGGUUCGAUUCCCGCCUGUGGCA
rnacentral:tRNA from 1 species